rnacentral:rRNA from 1 species
GACGAACGCUGGCGGCGUGCUUAACACAUGCAAGUCGAACGGAAAGGCCCUGCUUUUGUGGGGUUCUCGAUUGGCGAACGGGUGAGUAGCACGUGAGUAACCUGCCCUUGACUUUGUGAUAACUUCAGGAAACUGGGGCUAAUACCGGAUAGGAGCUCCUGCUGCAUGGUGGGGGUUGGAAAGUUUCGGCGGUUGGGGAUGGACUCGCGGCUUAUCAGCUGGUUUGUGGAGUUGUGGCUUACCAAGGCUUUGACGGGUAGCCGGCAUGAGAGGGUUACCGGCGACAUUGGGACUGAGAUACGGCGCAGACUCCUACGGGAGGCAGCAGUGGGGAAUAUUGCACAAUGGGCCGAAGCCUGAUGCAGCAACGCCGCGUGCGGGAUGACGGCCUUCGGGUUGUAAACCGCUUUCGCCUGUGACGAAGCGUGAGUGACGGUAAUGGGUAAAGAAGCACCGGCUAACUACGUG